rnacentral:sRNA from 1 species
CGGUUGGGGAACAUAGAUGGCUGGAGACAGAAUCUAGAGCCUUCAAAUAAUGUGGAGAUGUUUCCACCUUCAGGUCAGUGGGACCAGACAAGGGGAGUGGUGGUUGUCUCUGCCUGGGAAACUGACCAUCUUUGUUUUUGUAAUUCUUCAGGUUCCACUGGGCUGAUUCCCCCCUCCCACUUUCAAGCUCGGCCCCUUUCAACUCUGCCAAGAAUGGCUCCCACCUGGCUCUCAGACAUUCCCCUGGUCCAACCCCCAGGCCAUCAAGAUGUCUCAGAGAGGCGGCUAGACACCCAGAGACCUCAAGUGACCAUGUGGGAACGGGAUGUUUCCAGUGACAGGCAGGAGCCAGGGCGGAGAGGCAGGUAGGGAUCCAUCCACGCCGUUUUCUCAGGCUUGCUUGCUAGUGACCCUUCCUCACUGGAAUAAACUCCUUACCCUAUUUCGGCCCUAGUUUCCAGAACGUACUCAUUUUUAUGUAAGCAAUUAGUUCCUACAGUGCAUAAAUAAUAAAGCAGUGUGCUAAGUGCUAGGGAUGAGGAUAACAAUAGUGAAUAAGACAAAUCCUGACUUAAAUUUGUAAUUAAUAAGGAAUCUAAAAUCCUAAGAGGGGAGAUAGAUUGACCACCAGCUGAUGGUAAAGCAUAGCAUGAGGCAAGAUGAAGAAGUGCAAACUAGAGGUAGAGACCCAGCACUGUGGCAGUGUGGGUUCAUUCUGAUGGAAGAAAGCCUUUACAGAGGACGUGCUGUGGGAGCUGGCCAUGCUGUCGUAUUGUCUGUAAACAUUCUUAUUCUUGUUUCAUGUGUCUUUUCCCAGAUGUACUGGGAUAUCAUUCUGCCAUUUUGCUCCAGAGUAGGAUUACA